UAGGGAAUCUUCGGCAAUGGACGAAAGUCUGACCGAGCAACGCCGCGUGAGUGAAGAAGGUUUUCGGAUCGUAAAACUCUGUUGUUAGAGAAGAACAAGGACGUUAGUAACUGAACGUCCCCUGACGGUAUCUAACCAGAAAGCCACGGCUAACUACGUGCCAGCAGCCGCGGUAAUACGUAGGUGGCAAGCGUUGUCCGGAUUUAUUGGGCGUAAAGCGAGCGCAGGCGGUUUCUUAAGUCUGAUGUGAAAGCCCCCGGCUCAACCGGGGAGGGUCAGUGGAAACUGGGAGACUUGAGUGCAGAAGAGGAGAGUGGAAUUCCAUGUGUAGCGGUGAAAUGCGUAGAUAUAUGGAGGAACACCAGUGGCGAAGGCGGCUCUCUGGUCUGUAACUGACGCUGAGGCCCGAAAGCGUGGGGAGCAAACAGG
rnacentral:rRNA from 1 species